AUUGAACGCUGGCGGCAGGCCUAACACAUGCAAGUCGAGCGAGCGGCGGACGGAUGAGUAAUGUCUGGGAAACUGCCUGAUGGAGGGGGAUAACUACUGGAAACGGUAGCUAAUACCGCAUACCAUCAGAUGUGCCCAGAUGGGAUUAGCGGGUAGGUGGGGUAACGGCUAACCUAGGCGACGCUCCCUAGCUGGGCUGCGGGGAUGACUAGCCACCAUGGAACUGAGACACGGUCCAGACUCCUACGGGAGGCAGCAGUGGGGAAUAUGUCACAAUGGGCGCAAGCCUGAUGCAGCCAUGCCGCGUGUGUGAAGAAGUCCUUAGGGUUGUAAAGCACUUUCAGCGGGGAGGCGUUACCCGCAGAAGAAGCACCGGCUAACUCCGUGCCAGCCGCCGCGGUAAUAC
rnacentral:rRNA from 1 species